rnacentral:rRNA from 1 species
GUGCAUGGCCGUUCUUAGUUGGUGGAGUGAUUUGUCUGGUUAAUUCCGUUAACGAACGAGACCCCCGCCUGCUAAAUAGUGUGGCUUACGCUUUUGCGUAGGUGCUCGCUUCUUAGAGGGACUUUCGGUGACUAACCGAAGGAAGUUGGGGGCAAUAACAGGUCUGUGAUGCCCUUAGAUGUCCUGGGCCGCACGCGCGCUACACUGAUGCAUGCAACGAGUUUCAUUGUUCCUGGGUCGAGAGGCCCGGGUAAUCUGUUGAACGUGCAUCGUGAUAGGGAUAGAUCAUUGCAAUUAUUGAUCUUGAACGAGGAAUUCCUAGUAAACGCGAGUCAUCAGCUCGCAUUGAUUACGUCCCUGCCCUUUGUACACACCGCCCGUCGCACCUACCGAUUGAAUGUUUCGGUGAAGAUUCCGGACCGUGGCUCGUGCGCUUCACGGCGCGCUCGCCGUGGGAAGUUAUCUAAACCUCAACAUUUAGAGGAAGGUGAAGUCGUAACAAGGUUUCCGUAGGUGAACCUGCGGAAGGAUCA